GAGUUGCUAGUAAUCGCGAAUCAGCAUGUCGCGGUGAAUGCGUUCCCGGGCCUUGUACACACCGCCCGUCACACCAUGGAAGUUGGGGGCACCCGAAGCCAGUGGCCUAACCGCAAGGAGGGAGCUGUCGAAGGUGAAAUCAAUGACUGGGUGAAGUCGUAACAAGGUAUC
rnacentral:rRNA from 1 species